rnacentral:rRNA from 1 species
UGAGUAACCUGCCCUUAACUCUGGGAUAAGCCUGGGAAACUGGGUCUAACACCGGAUAUGACUCCUCAUCGCAUGGUGGGGGGUGGAAAGCUUUAUUGUGGUUUUGGAUGGACUCGCGGCCUAUCAGCUUGUUGGUGAGGUAAUGGCUCACCAAGGCGACGACGGGUAGCCGGCCUGAGAGGGUGACCCGGCCACACUGGGACUGAGACACGGCCCAGACUCCGUACGGGAGGCAG